rnacentral:lncRNA from 1 species
GUGCAAAGCUGUUCUUGUAGUUCCAAACACUCAGUAGGCAUCAAAUGCAGUGGCUUCCCCAACCUUGCCUGGACACCCAAGACACAUGAGAAAGAUUUUUGCCCCCUGGAAGUUCCAACAAUUGCCUCUGGAGAUAUGAAAAGGGCCCCCUGCGAUGCUCUGUGGCUGAGCCCUCUCUGGAGGCGCAGGAAGGGGUGCGGGGACCAGCGCCCUCUGAGGAGAUUCCCGAAGCCAAUAUGGAGGCAGCGCGACUGCGAGCGUCUCCCACCCCACCCGCCUCUCUAACACUUGUGAUGACCCUCUUGCCUCUCACCCCGCUGCCCCCCACCAUUGCCUCACUUGUCCUUUCGCUCUGUGGCUCUCUGCCCUUCUUUAUCUGAGCUCAGGCUGCUGAAUACCUGGGACACGAGUACAAAUCCCCAGCUGCAGUGUGGUUUGCAUCCCCUCUGAGGGCCCAGGUCUAGACUUCCCCACAGGGGGCAUCGGGAUAACUGAGAAUUGUGGUCAUGUACCCUUGAAACAUUUUUUCCACUUGAGCAAGUGGUUGAGAAGAGGGGAAGGAGGCAGCUGCAGUGGCCUUCCACCCCCAGGAACUUUUCCAGGAGGCCUGGCAUCAUGGGAAUCUGCUCAGUGUGCUUUGCGGAGGUAUUUCAAUCCUGCUGGGACCAGCCUUGGAGCAGUUCUGGGCUUCCCUGGGGUCUUAGGCUUGAAUGUCAGCGUCUAGAAGUAUAGGAUUUGAUUUCCUAACCAGUUGUUCCUUCCCGUGGAAAAUGCAUGUAACACAUUAUUAGGUUUCCUAAGAGGUAUGCAAUGAGACUCUUACUGUGAUGAGAAAAGGAGCGUUUUUCCUGUAGCGCAUACUGAUGACAGCUAUUUUUAUUCGGUGGGCUGCAUAUGCUCACUGGCUAUGCACUCAACACAAGCCCUAUUCAAAGGAAUGCCCUAUUGUUCCCCAGGAAGGAGGUUUGAUGAUAAAAGACCUCGGUUCAUUCCUGGGAUAACACAGUUCUUCUUCAGACAAAUGUGUAUUCCAAGCAGGAGUCACCAGUCCGUGCCCAGCCACUAAGGAAUGGCCCUCAGAUAGCUGAGUCUUUAUAGAGGAUAUAAAAUCUGAAUGCUGAGAUCACACAAAAGUUAUGGUGGAAGCCUUCCCCCAUUCUAAAUGUAGGAGCGUUAAUCUGAACAAAGAAGUUUGGAUGCUUCUGAUAUAGAAGAUGCGCCAAUCUCUGCAUCCUUGCAUCAAAAUGGCUUAAAGCUGGUCCAUCUCAAGCUUGGCUCCACAAUGGGCUUAACUAGGGAGUUAAUAAUAAACAGAUGCCUGGCUCCCACCCCUAAAGAGUCUCAUUUAAUUGGUAUAGGGUGUAGCCUGGUGUUGGGCAUUUUUAUUGCUUCCUGGGUGAUUCUAAUGAGCAGUGAAGUUUGAGAACCACUGGUUUCAGCUGGAAGUUGAAGUGACAGAAACAAGGAGCAGGUGGAAACUAAGAUGGGGAGAAAGACCUGCAGAGCAGAAGAUCCGGCAUAAGGACAGUAGCGGGAGGAGAGUCAAGAAGGCCAAUCAAGGAGUUCUCAUUGUGACUCUGUGGGGUAAGAACCUGACAUAGUGUCUGUGAGGAUACAGGUUCGAUCCCUGGCCUUGCUCAGUGGGUUAAGGAUCCAGCAGUUGACUGUGAGCUAUGGUGUAGGUUGCAGAUGUGGCUUGGAUCCUGUGUUGCUGUGGCUGUGUUGUAGGUCAGCAGCUGCAGCUCCAAUUUGACCCCUAGCCUGUGAACCUCCACAUGCCACAAGUGAGACCCUAAAAAGACAAAAAAAGAAAAGAAGAAAGCAAAUCAAAAGAGGCAAUGAGUAGAGGAGAACCUUGUGAAUGGGGGCCGCUAAGCUACCAAAACAGAGCCCCUGCUGAGGUCUGCCUACCACCCAGGACCCACAGGGGCCUGCAGGGCAGGGCCGCUCCAGCAGUAGCUCUGUUCUCACAUUCUAUGAGAUCUGUUUCACAUUACGGCUGUAUGGAGGUGUCACUUUUAAAAAGCUCAUGGAAUGAUGUUACUACUGCCAGAUAGGCAUGGGCAGAAAGCACUUGUCUGGCCCUCUCUGGGCCACCUGUGACCUGAGCUGGUGUCACAUGCCAUUCUCUGGGAGUUCAUGAGUGUUGGUGCCCUCGAGCCAUUUUGAGUAGGUAGGACCACACCCAAUCAUACUGCAGUUGCCAUGUUCACUCUGAUGCCAUUUCUGAAUGGCACCCCCAAGACACAAACCAUGAAAGAAAGAUGGCUUGAUGCCAUUGAAUUCAUUCAAUCUAAUGGGAUAUAUGACAAGAAGACAGACAAGGCCGGUGAAACAAGCGUAGGAGCGGAGUUCCUGUCAUGGCACAGUGGUUAGCAAAUCCGACUAGGAACCAUGGGGUUGCGGGUUUGAUCCCUGGCCUUGUUUAGUGGGUUAAGGAUCCAGCAUUGCCAUGAAGGCCGGUAGCUACAGCUACGAUUGGAUCCUUAGCCUGGGAACCUCCAUAUGCCAUAGGAUGCAGCCCUAGAAAAGGCAAAAAGACAAAAAAACAAGUGUAGGAGCAUCUUUAGGGAAUAUUCAUUGACUUCAUCCAUCCCUGGUUUCUAAAAACCAUACUUUGUCUAGCUGUAGAACCACCCCUCCAUUUCUAGGACCCAGGGAUAGAGAAAUGCAUUGCACGUGUCCUUCAUGGGCCAUCAGAGCUUUGAAGAUCCUGGCAGUUUUGUCCUCUUCUAGAUAAUUCCACCUUUUGAUGACCCCUUUCCUUUUGGAUUAUACAUUUUCGUAUCUUAUUUAAUUAUAACUGCUGCAAGAUGACAGAUGUCCUAGCAAGGACCUGGCAAGAGGCUUAAAGUGUAGGGCUGGGAACCCCCAAGUGAGACCCUGGGUGGAUGGCUUAGCCUCCCGGAGCUGGAGAAGCCCUGAUCCGGCUGAUGUGCCAUGACCCCUAAGGUCCUGUUCUCUUUGACCGUUGCUAAUUAACGUGGCCACCUCAAACACCUGUUUGUGUUUGUCACCACCUGUCUUAUGGUUCUGAUACCUCUGGCAUCCUCACGUGUGGCAGUUUUGAAGAAGCUGGUGUGUCCUUGGUAAAAGUUUACCUCCAAGACCAGCCUGUUCUGCCUUUGCCUCUGUCACUAAAAUGUUUGUUCCACUGCCUUCUGGUCUAGAGUCCACGUCACUCGCCACCAGCUGCCGGAUCAGCGCACGUGGAAAGUGCAGUUUCUCCCCUCCCGCCUCACCCUUCUGUCAAACUCCGGGCUGAUGCUGUGUUUGCUUAGUAACUGGAAGGUGUGAAAUUAUCCUCCAGCUGGUUGCUUGAUGCAUGUGUUCCUUGUUUAUGUGGGAAGGCUGCUGGGUUGUUUUCAUGAAGACUGAUUCGAAGGAGCAUUUUGAAAGGGUUCUUUGGGAUGCUUCUUUAAAGGUGUCUCUUAAGAAUCAGCCGUUCUCAUACAUUGAUUGUAAAUAAGCAGGGCCUGCAAGCCGUGGCCACCUAAGAAGUCUUUCACUGUUGUCACUGGAGUGACAUGUUUUCCUAACCUUCCAUCCUUCACCCUCAAAACUUAAAGGAGGAGCAGAUGAAAGAGCAUCUUUGUUUUUCACUUGUGGCUGCGUAUCACUUAAGUGUUUUUUUUGUUGUUGUUGUUGUUGUUGUUGUUUUUCUUUUUAGGGCCGCACUCAUGGCACAUGGAAAUUCUCAGGCUAGGGGUCGAAUCGGAACUGCAGCUGCCAGCCUACACCAUAGUCACAGCAAUGCAGGAUCCAAGCUGAGUCUGCGGCUUACACUGCAGCUCACAGCAAGGCCGGAUCCUUAACCCACUGAGCAAGGCCAGGGAUCGAACCUGCAUCCUCAUGGAUACUAGUCGGGUUUGUUUCCACUGUGCCACAACGGGAACUCCUUUUUUUUUAAAGUAAGUAAUUUUUUUUUUUUAAUCAAUUAUACCCUUGGACUUGCUCCCUGGCUUCCUUCAGUUAUUUGCUCAAACGUCAGUCUUCUCUGCACAGUCAAUUAAAAGCUGCAGCCCCCUUCCUACCAUUUCCCCAAUGCUCGUUAUUUUUUAUUUUUCACCUGUGAGACCUACGAUCCUGAAGUUAUUCGUUCUGUUUCCUCGCACUGGACUGUAAACUCCUCGAUGGCAGAAAUUUUCCUCAAUGUGGUGUCCCCAGUGCCUGGAAUGGUUCCUGGCACAUGAAAUGUGCUCACUGAAUGGUUGUGAUGGAAAACAUUCCCAAUGAAAACAAAAACAGACCUAAUAGCAGCUGCAUGGCAGGCGGAUGGGAGCCCAGGCCCUGAGCCAGGCAGUCUGACUUUGAAUCCCACCUUUAGCAUUGGCUGGUCGAGUACCUUAACCUCCAACAUAGUUUUAUCAUCCAUAAAAUGGGUGCAAUAACAAUAUCUCCCUCACUGGUGUCGUAAGUUGCCCUCUAAACACUGGCUGUUAAGAACUGUGUUGCUGGACAGGGUUAGCUUUUCCCCCGAGUUGAGUUCACUGGGGACACUCUCUCCGCUGAGGUUUUCAAGCUGGUCCCCUCAAGUCUGCCAGCCAGGAGCCAUCUUCAUCAUCACAUGGGGACCCCCCCCCCCCAGUCUGGGAAUGAAGGCAACUCAGAGGGACGCCAGAGGGACGCCAUACCGAGGAUGGAGGAAGAUUCCUGACGACAUUGUCUGAGCCUCUGGAUCCAGCCAGAUCCAGUCAGACCCUAGUCUUUUUGGUUGUGUGAGCCAAUAAACCGCCUCUGUGC